rnacentral:rRNA from 1 species
AGUGAACGCUGGCGGUAGGCCUAACACAUGCAAGUCGAACAGCAGCACAGGAGAGCUUGCUCUCUAGGUGGCGAGUGGCGGACGGGUGAGGAAUACAUCGGAAUCUGCCCAGUCGUGGGGGAUAACGUAGGGAAACUUACGCUAAUACCGCAUACGACCUUCGGGUGAAAGAGGGGGAUCGCAAGACCUCUCGCGAUUGGAUGAGCCGAUGUCGGAUUAGCUAGUUAGCGGGGUAAUGGCCCACCAAGGCGACGAUCCGUAGCUGGUCUGAGAGGAUGAUCAGCCACACUGGAACUGAGACACGGUCCAGACUCCUACGGGAGGCAGCAGUGGGGAAUAUUGGACAAUGGGCGCAAGCCUGAUCCAGCCAUACCGCGUGGGUGAAGAAGGCCUUCGGGUUGUAAAGCCCUUUUGUUGGGAAAGAAAUCUUUCAGGCUAAUACCCUGGGAGGAUGACGGUACCCAAAGAAUAAGCACCGGCUAACUUCGUG